AGUGGAAUUGCUAGGUAGUAUGGUAAAUUUAUGUUUAAAGAAAUUGUCAGAUUAUUUUCCAAAGCGGCUGCACCAUUUUACCAUUCCCACCAGUAGU
rnacentral:pre_miRNA from 1 species